UGUGUGUCAACGCCGAGCCCUGCCAGGCACACAUGUUCCCCUCGAACACCAUGGCAGGGGUGGGGGACCCAGGAACUCGGGUCUCGACCGUGAGUGGUCGGAACCCUGGGGUGAAGUCCGCGGGAGCGGACCGGGCUAAUGACUCUCAGCCCGAACCCGACAGCUAACUCCGCAGGCGUCGGGAGACAACCA
rnacentral:sRNA from 2 species